CCUAUCGUACAUUUACUUAAAAAGUUACUGAAAUUGCAAUUUUGGUAUUCGAAUUUUCAUAUUGGUCCACCUAACACAGGCUGUAAUUUAAAAGGAAAAUAUAUUUUCAUCAGUUGCAAAUGGUUUGUUAAAAGUCCUAUUUAAAUAAUCACAUGGCAUUUGUAACAAUCUGACAUCUAUACUUCACGCGAAGGAGCGUGUGAUCGAUUUCUUUGUGGACAAAACACGUUUCUACUGAGUAUAGGACAUUAAUAUCGAUUAAUAUGUCACCAGCUGCUAGGACAUCAACCCGGGAAGAUUAACUAGCACCUUCAUUUCCUUACAAUGAGUCAUGGAAUUCUGAAGUUGAUAUAUGUGUGUGCGUGUGAAUGCUAUAAAUGUACAAAAGAGGUUUUAUAGCUUCAUAUGUCUUAGGAGAAAAUUUUGAUCUUGUCAAUUCAGUAGGCAGUGUCUAUCAUAUUAUACAACCGUGUGGGAAGAUGGCUGGCAGUUGGCUGAAGUGGUAUGCACCGGUAUGCACGGCCUGAAAAUAACGAGUAUAGGUAGGAUGUAUAUGAUGGUCACGAAUGUUCUGAAUGUCUAGAAUUAGAAAACAAUCUGCAACAUGCACUUUCUGAAUUAAGCUGAUUGCCGUUAAUAAAGAAACUCGUGUUAAAGAGUGGGAAGAGACUAACCCCAAACUUAAGAUUAUAUCUGGUGUAGCGGUGAAUGUGAAGUCGGACGAACAUCAAAAUUGUUGACUGACGACGGAAUGUGCAAAAGGUAUAGAAAUAGUGGAAAGAACAACGUAGCAAAAUAUACCUGUCUCAUAAUUUUCAUGGAAAGGGACCUGGCAGAAAUAAAGUAGAGAAACGAAUGAAGAAGAAUGAGCAGGAAGGAGGCAACCAUCUCGAAAACAAAACUGCAGAUUCUUUGUGAAAUAUGCUGGCACCAACUCUGAAAUUUAGUAUGGACUUAUAUUUUUAUUGUUUGUUACUGUUUGGAAUAUCAUCUCUAUUUUUAAGUAAGACACAGCUUGCAGCUGCCGAUAGUGC